AGGGAACGGCCCAAGAAAUGCCAAAAAAAAAAAGCCAAAAAAAAAAAAAGAUUAGAGCAGAGAGAAAUAGAGACUAGAAAAGCACUAGAGAAAACAGUGACACCAAAAGAGCUGCUUUGAAAUCAUGACUGAUGAAAAUGACAAACUUAUAGCUACAGUGGCUAAGAACAAAUGAGAGCAGACUCACAUAACUAAAAUCCGAAAAGAAAGAGGGGACAUCACGUGUGAUUCAGAGAAAUGAAAAGGAUUGUAAGAGAAUGUGUGAACACUUGUACACCAACAACCUAGAGAAAAGUGGUAAACGCCUAGAAACACACAACUUGAUGAUGACUGAAUCACGAAGAAACAGAAAAUCUGAACCAAUCUGUAACAAAAUUAUUAAGAAGAUAAAAUCAGGAAAAAAAAAGAAGAUAAAAUCAGUAUUUAAAAACCUCACAAAAAGAAAACACCAGAACUAAAUGACUUCCCCAGUGAAUUCUAUUCAAUAUUUAAAGAAUUAGCCCCAAUCCUCCUCAAAUUCUUGCAAGAAAUCUGAGAGGAGAGAAUUCUUCCCCACUGAGUCUACGAGGCCAGCCUUACCUUGAAACCCAAGCCAGACAGUACACGAAAAGAAAACCAUAGACAAUACUCUUCAUGAAUAUUGAUGCAAAAAUCUUCAACAAGAUACUAGCAAACAAUUCAACAUCACCUUCAAAAGGUUGUGCUCCAUGAUGAAGUUGGAUUUAUUCCUGCAACAGAAGGGACUUUCUCCAAGGAUGGUUCAGCAGACAGAAACCAACCGCAUUAACAGAAUAGCAACAACAACAAAACCCCCAUGUUCAUCUCCAUUGAUACAAAAAAGCACUUGAGAAACUGAACACCCUUUCAGGAUAAAAACACUUAACUCGGAGGUCCCGUGGUGGCUCAGCCAUAAGGAACCCGACUAGGAGCCAUGAGGAUGCGGUUCAGCUCUUGGCCCCACUCCGUGUGUUGAGGAUCCAGCUUUGUCAUGAGCUGCGGUGCAGGUAGCAGGCGGGGCUCGGAUCUCGCACUGCUGUGGCUGUGGCGUAGGCCGGAAGCUGAGGUUUGAUUUCACCUUCCCUAUGCCACACAUGCAGCCCUAAAACACAAACAAGCAACCAGACAAACUAACUAACUAGGAAUAAAGGGAACGUCAACAUAAUAAAAGCCAUCUAUGAAGAGCCCGCAGCUAAUAGAAAGGCAUACUUUGAAGAUACUGCAGGUUUGGCUCCAGACCACAGCCAUGAAGCAAGUAUUGCAAUAAAGAGAGUCAAACCACAUUUUUGGUUUCCCAGGGCAUGUAUAAGUCAUGUUUCCACAAUACCGCAGUCUACUGGGUGUGCGAUAGCAUCAGGUCAUGUACAUACACUAAGACACGAUGGGCAAACACUAAUUAAGAAAACCCAAUGGAUAAAAAGUGCUGACCAUCAAGUGAGUCUUCAGCGAGGUGUAAUGUCUUUGCAAUAGUUACAUCCAAGAUUGUUGAUCACAGACAGACCCCCGUAACAGGUCUAGUCAUAGUGACAAAAAUGGGAAUCAUUAUGAGAAGCACCAACAUGUGACACAGAGACAUGCAGGGAGGAGAUGCUCUUAGAGAAACAGUGCCCACAGCCUUGCUGAAUGUAGGGUUGCCACAAACCCUCGAUUCAGAAAAUACUCCGUAUCUGCCCAGGGCAUUAAUGCGAAGCAAAAUACAACAAGGCAUCAAGUAAGUCUCUUGAUGGUGAGAGACUGAAAGCUUUUCCUCUAAGAUCAGGGACAAGACAAAGAUGCCCACUCUCACUAGCUUGUUGAACACAGAACUGGGAGUCCAGCAAAGGAAAUAAAAGGCAUCCAAAAUAGAAAGGAAAAAGUAAAAUUAUUUCUCUGCAUAAGCGACAUGAUCUUAUUUGUCGAAAACCCUAAGGAGCUCCCAUGCACAAAAAACGCUCUUACAACUGAUAAAUGAAUUAAGCAAAUGGCAGGACACCAAAUCAACACACAAAAAUCCAUCUGAUUUCUAUAGACCAACAAUGAACAGUCGGAACAUGAAAUUUAAAAUAUCAGUGAUGAUAUCAUCCAAAAUUAUAAAAUCCUUAGUAAUACACUUACCCAUGGAGGUAAGGAAAACUGCAAAACAUGGUUGAAAGAAAUAGAGGACACGUGUCGUCUCCAGCCUUGCCACCUCGAACGCGCCCAAUCUCAUCUGAGGUCGGAAGCUAAGCAGGGUCCGGCCUGGUUAGUCCACAGAUGGGAGAAAUUACAAGUAAAUGGAAGGUAUUCUGUGUUCAUAGAUUCAAAGACUUGAUAUUGUUCAGAAAACAGCACUACCCACGGCAGUCGGCAUAUUUAAUGCAAUCUCUGUCGACACUCCAUCAGCAUUUGUUUGCAGAAAUCGAAAAGUCCAUCCUCAAAUUCAUAUGGGUUAUUGACGGACUCAGAAUGGCUAAAAACGAUUUUGAAAAAGAAGAUCAAAAUUGAAAUUUGUGAUUUCAGAACUUAAUAUGAAGCUACAGUCACCAAAGUGGUGUGGUACUAGCAGAAAAACAGACAUAUAAGCUAAUGGGAACAGCACGGAGAGCCCAGAAGUAACUCUUGCAAGUGUGGGCAAAUGACUUUGGACAAGGGUGCCAAGACUAUUCCGUGAGGAAAGGACAGCCUUUCCACAAAUAGUAUGAAAAACUGGGUAUCCACAUAAACAAGAAGGAAGUUGGAGUGCUGCCUUACACCAUUACAUGCACAUUAACUCCAAAUGGGCCGAAGGCCUAAACGUAAGAACUUCACUUGUAAAGCUCUUAGGAGAAAACGCAAGAGGAAUAUUCAUGAUAUGGAACCUGACAAUAAUUUCAUGGAUAUGACACCAAGCACACAGGCAACAACAAGCAAAGGAGAUACAGAUGAUGAGGGGAGUGGGUCAAAGAGUGAAAGGGAGCAGAGAAACCUGAAUUGGGGGGAUGGACUGCGGAGGAUCGAAAGUUACUUAAAACAUGGAAUUCAAGAAGGACAAAGCAGCCGCUGACAUCAGGAACUGCUCUGACACCUCCAGGAGGCCUCAGCGGUGUCAGAAGCUGGGCGGGUGCUCACCACGCGGCUGGGUUGUUCUCCUGUUGGACAGAAGCCACCUCGCAGAACAUCAGCAUCAGACCAGGACACUGACCUUGACACAGUGAGACAAAACAAGACCACGACAUCAGUCUAUGGCCAGACCAAGCAAGGUGGCCCUGUGACCUCACAGUGUGCCAAACUCCUGUCUUUGCGAUCACAGCUGGAGCCUGGCUCUAGUCUGCCCUCCCUACAGGUGAGGUCACUGAGCUGCCCGGUCAGACACCUGCCCCCACCGCCUGACACCAACACCCGAUCUAGACUGAGCCCCUCUUCCAUCCACCCUCCUCGAAAUCACCCACCAAAGCCCCAACUCUUUCAUCCUAAGAUGCCCUGUGGUCUCUGAUGGACUGUGUUCUCCCUCGAGCUGCCUCCAGUCAGAAAUCUCUCUUGUUGGCCCACAUAUCUGCUCCCAGGGGGCUUUGGCUGAAGAACACUGAAGGAUGUCACACGUUUGUCUGUCAGAUUAUUUUCGUGUGUCUUUGAGUUUGAUCAUGGACUUGUGUUUGUAUUGUUGCCCCUGUCUAGGUGACACCGAGAUGUAUAACUUUUUAUACGUUUUCAACUUUGGGUGAUACUUUGAGAAGUCGUCCUUCCACUAUUGUUAAUUUUUCAUGUCUAUUUUCGUCUAGGAGCGAGGGGUCCAAGGGUGAAGGGAGACGGAAUGAAUUGAAUUUGUGGGGCAAAGUACAGCAGGAGCAGACAGCAAAGAAUUCUAAGCUGGUGGGUUCCAAGGUUACACCUUCUGCUUUAUGAUUUUACACGUAGGUACAGGUCCUACACGGUAUUUGAUACAUGUUAUGUUCAAGAAACACUGUCCCUUGGGCUCAGUGAGUGAAGCCGUCUGUGUCUGCUUCCGUUGACCAGGUGAAGGCAAACAACACCAAGAGCCCAAGGCAAUAGAGACAAGGAGUAGCUCCAGCGAUGGACGGUCUUGAAUAGUUAUGGCCUUAAGGGGAUCAAUCACGGUUUGGUUAAUGUCUGCACACUCUAACUAUGAAAAUACACAUGAAUUAAUCUUUCUUG